GACACCAACUGAAGCCUUCAGCAUGGGAAGUCGUUUGCUCAUUUUGUUAGAGGGCAGUUGCCAGACAGCUGAGUUGAAUUCGACGGGCUUGGCACGAGUGAUGGGUGUGUCCGGCACAUGCAAGCGCCAUGUGCUUGGCUCAGAAUUUUCUUCAUCCAUAUGGCUUCUGCAGGCAAAGGCCUUCCAUGGCUGGUGGCCUGCUGUGUCUCAGUCCCAGAAUUCCGGGCUGGACUUCUCCCUAAUCGACAGUGGACUAUAGCAGAUGUACUCUCUCCGCCUGGAAACUGGACGGAUAGACGGCAGAUGACAGACUCUGCUUCAUGCCUCCAAGCCUGCAAAACUGAAUUAGAGAAAUCUCCAGUGGCUUAGAGUUCACUAGCAAUGACUGCUUUGCUCGCAUGUCUUCGGUGCUCACUGCAGACUCUCCCCAUCCGGCCGACCUGCUCCAUAACCUGGUGGGAAACGCCCAUUGCUGAAGAAUCUCACAGAUGCUGCCAAGGGAGGCUCUUCCUAUCCCUUCCUGAGACUGUCUGGGGUGGAGCAAGCUCCCUCAAUGCUGGAGAAAGCCCUUUGGCAGAGAAGCAGCUUAACGGCAUGCUGGGACCUGUCUGCUGCACCUGUGGGGGAAUCCAACAGUCUCCUACUGGUGCCUCUCAUUGGCUGAGCUCAACCGGAAGCAGAAGGAAAGUUUGCCUGGAUGAUGCAAUCCACAGGGGUCCAUCUUCUGAAGAACAGCGCAGGGCGAAGAGAGCCAGAAUGAUGGGGCAGAGAGGUGGCAAUGAGAACACAGUCUGAUUGCUUCCAGAAUGCCUCUCUGCUUUCCAUCCAUUCCCACCGUCAUCGUCUUUGUUCCAGCCUCGUUAUUCCACCCCUGGACUACUGGGGCAAGCUCCUAACCCAUCUCCCUGUCUCCAGUCCACCAUUCCUAAUGUCUGCGACACAGAGUCCUUCCAUUCCUGUUUCAGAGAACUCCAGUGUUUCCCAUUCUCUACUCAUUACUGAAGAUGGCCAGGACAAUUCCAAGACUUCACAUCUUAUUUCUAAUAAGGAGGAUAGACAUUAAGAAACUAGAAAUGGAUAAUUUCACCAUAAGAGAGAUGUGGUUGAAAAGAUGUGUAAAUUUGACUCUUUAAUGUCUUGGCAUCAUAGUCGAGGCUGUUCUCAGUCCAAAUUUUUCCUUCCAGACUUGUUUUCUAAGACUUGUGUUCUACUGCAUUCUUCCAUGUGCCUUGGGUCCUAGCCCUGCUGAUUGCCUGACAUCCUUUGACAGCACACACCACCCACACUGAGAAUUCUAGGUCUUUGCUCUUGCUGUUCCUCCCGCCCAGAAAGCCCCUCCCCAGCCGGCCUUGGCGGAUGGUCUGAUCAGCUGCUCACAGUUAGUUGAGUCAGAACACCAAACCUGUAAGACCUCAUACUCAGAGUGUGGUACCUAGAUUGGCAGCAUAGCAGCACCUGGGAGCUUGUUAGGACUGUAACUCUCAGGCUCACCGUACCUAGAAUCAGAACCCUGCAUCUGGACCAAAUCUCCAGGUGAUUCCCAUGUGCUUGAAAGUCUGAAAAGCAGCAGAUGUUGUCUGAGCAACCGAAGUGGGGCUUGUGGCUUGAGUAAGGGAGCUUGGCUUCUUACCUUGUCUCCCUAGAAUAAAGGGUUAGGGGGGCUCUGUUUUUAGUUAGUUAUAAACCACUUGUGUUCUUAGCUCUGAAGUUAUGAGGGGGCUAACAAAAUGGCUAAGAGAAUGAGCUUUUGCAUGAUACAGCCAUGGGUUCAAAUCUCUGCUCUCCCACUCACUAGCUUGGGGUUUUAAUAAAGGCAGUUAACCUCUCUCGGUCCCAAUUUUCCAAAGGGUAAUGUGUUAAUGAUAUCAUAGCAUAGAUGUAAGGAUCAAAUUAAAUCAGAUGUGUUCACUGUUUAAUAAAUGUUAACUGCAUUUGUUAUUUUGCAAACCCGUGAAGCAAAGUCACUGGUCAAGAAGCCCUUUUGUGGGAAGGUCUUGGCCAUUUAACUAGUGGUGGGAGGAGCAGGUCUUUGGUGAUAUAACAGGAGCCCAAGGGCGUAAGAGUGGCAAAUCAGAGAAAACAAAGGUGUAUCCAAGAGCAGUUUAGUCUACCUGGCUGAACAGAUGCUCUCCUAACAGAAUGAUGUCUGCAGGCACUAUCUGGAAGGUAGGCGGUAUCCUGGUGGGCUCCCUGGAGGUCGUGUUACGAGGAUUGGUGACCCCUCCCCUUAAGGUAUAAAGUCAGUGAUACUGUACCUGAUCUGACAGGACUAAAAUGGAGAUAGGCCACCAUCCUCCUGGAUGGCUCAUCUCAAAUAACUGUUACCAUCUAAUAUCUUCCUGGUACUCUACUACUUACAAAUCACUCACAUUUCCGUCAUCUCUUUUAAUUUGGAAUGUGACAGGGUUUAGCAUGCCGUUCAAGUCUCUCGUGACUGCCCCCUUCUGCUGAUUCACACAGGAAAAACAAUCCAGUCCAGAGUAAAAAACAAACCUCGAGUGUGUCUCCCCAGACCCUGACAUUUUGAGUAAGAAAUAGAAGGACUUGGGGGCUCAUGGGGUGUUUUCAUCCCUCCUUCCUGCUGAAGGUUGUGAC